CUAUGCUUCCAAGAAAAGCUUCUAGGGUUAAUCGUAUAGGUGCCUGUACCGACAACCGACACAGGUAGGUAGGAAGAGUAUCCUAAGGUGAGCGAGAGAACUAUGGUUAAGGAACUCGGCAAAAUGACCCCGUAACUUCGGGAGAAGGGGUGGUCUAGCGAUAGACCCGCAGUGAAUAGGCCCAGGCAACUGUUUACCAAAAACACAGGUCUCUGCUAACACGUAAGUGGAUGUAUAGGGGCUGACGCCUGCCCAGUGCUGGAAGGUUAAAGAGAUUAGUUAGUAUGACGUAAGUCGAUAAUACGAAGCUUUGAACUGAAGCCCCAGUGAACGGCGGCCGUAACUAUAACGGUCCUAAGGUAGCGAAAUUCCUUGUCAGGUAAGUUCUGACCCGCACGAAAGGCGUAAUGAUCUGGGCACUGUCUCAACCAUAGACUCGGUGAAAUCUUAAUACCUGUGAAAAUGCAGGUUACCCGCGACUGGACGGAAAGACCCCGUGGAGCUUUACUGUAGCUUGAUAUUGGAAUUCGGUAAACUAUGUAGAGCAUAGGUGGGAGACUAUGAGAUUAAGGCGCCAGCCUUAAAGGAGUCACCAUUGGAAUACCACCCUUAGUUUAUUGGAUUUCUAACCUAGGACCAUAAUCUGGUUCAGGGACAGUGUCUGGUGGGCAGUUUGACUGGGGCGGUCGCCUCCUAAAGAGUAACGGAGGCGUUCAAAGGUUCCCUCAGAAUGGUUGGAAAUCAUUCAAAGAGCAUAAAGGUAUAAAGGGAGCUUGACUGCAAGACCUACAAGUCAAGCAGGUGCGAAAGCAGGACUUAGUGAUCAGGCGAUUCAGAAUGGAAUGGUCGUCGCUUAACGGAUAAAAGUUACCCCGGGGAUAACAGGCUGAUACCACCCAAUAGUUCACAUAGACGGUGGUGUUUGGCACCUCGAUGUCGGCUCGUCAUAUCCUGGAGGUGGAGUCGCUUCCAAGGGUUGGGCUGUUCGCCCAUUAAAAUGGCACGCGAGCUGGGUUCAGAACGUCGUGAGACAGUUCGGUCCCUAUCCGUCGUGGGCGCAGGAAAAUUGAGGAGAGCUAUCCUUAGUACGAGAGGACCGGGAUGGACCUACCUCUGGUGUAUCUGUUGUCACGCCAGUGGCAGUGCAGAGUAGCUAUGUAGGGAAGGGAUAAACGCUGAAAGCAUCUAAGCGUGAAGCCCUCUCCAAGAUGAGUUUUCCCAUUGUUUAACAAGUAAAAUCCCAGAAAGACUAACUGGUAGAUAGGCUAGAAGUGGAAGUGUAGUGAUACAUUGAGCGGACUAGUACUAAUAGAUUGAGGAUUUAAUCCC
rnacentral:rRNA from 1 species